GGCCUGGUGGCUCAGAGGUUAAAGCGUCUGCCUGGAAAGCAGGAGACUGGGGUUCGAUCCCUGGGUUG
rnacentral:tRNA from 1 species